UAUUGGUUGCCUCGUCGUAGCUCGCCGAUUCAACCGAUCUUUGGUACCGUAUUGACGGACCGAUGUUGAAAUGGGAAACGUAGUGAUCCAAGUAUUCAAUGAAUUGGGCUCUGGAGACAAACAUCGGAUAAGAAGAAGGGAAUGGCAGGUGAGGGAGCUGACAAAAUUGCUUUGCUAAGUGCAGACGUAGGCGAUCGUAGGAAUAUUUCUUCCAGAUGGACGCGUAACAAUUUUCUCUUUCGAGGAUUACGUAAGGGAUUGAUUGAAGGCUAAGGCAGGCCGCCGUCGCCAGGCCGGACGAUCCUGCCCCUACUAAUAUCACUCCUACUCCCGCCGCUUGCUCUUUCAUUUCUUCUUCUUCUUCUUCAGGUUAAUUUUGAGUUAAGUUGAUUGUUAUUGCCCAUCUGGGGGUGCUUGUUCAAUUUAUAUACUGAAAAUCUUUACUUUAUAUGUACGACUCCAAUCAAUUUUUAUUUUGAUACUAUUGAAGAAGAUGUAUGUUACAAGACACUCGAUUCACGAACUCCACGUAGUCGGACUUUAGAGGGAAAAAUUGUGGUGUAAUUGUGGUACGGUAUCACAGUUGCACUCAAUCGUUGGAUCUCGAUGGAUCCCACCUAUCUAAAUAAAUUUAAUGGCUGAGUUGCACCGUAGCCGAACCCUAAAGAGAAAAAUUGUGGUGUAACUGAGUAUUGUGCCACAAUUGUACCCAACCGUUGGAUCUUGAUUGACCCAUUCAAGUGGAUCCAACGGUCGGAUGUAACUAUGACACAAUACCACAAUUAUACUAUAAUCAGACCUCUAUAUAUAUACAUAUAUAAAAUAAUUUUCAGGUCCGAGAUAUUUUAAAGUGAGGGAAAAGUUUGACAAAAUUUUAAAACAAUAGAAUUUAAAAAGUUUAAAACUUAAAACGAUUAAACCUUAUAAUUUAUUCUUUUUCUCAAAUUUUUCCGCACCACGAAAUUUUAGAUUGAAACCUCUCUGUUUGUAUGUAUGUUCGCUGCCACCCCACCAUGUUUGUAUGUAUGUUCGCUGCCACCCCACCAUUUUAAUUUUCUCAUUCCAUGUGAAUGUGAUAAAUCAAUAUUUUUUAUACGUCCUUAGUGUUACGAGAAAAACUUUUUAUGUAGGACCGAAUGAUUAGACUAAUAAUUAAUCACGCACAAGUCUUUCUCCAAAGUUACCAUGCUGACUAUAAUAUCUUCUUAAGCGUGCAUUUUUUCUUCUUCUCUGUAAUACAAAAUAAAUAAGUAUUACAUUUGCAUAUAAAGUAACAUUAUCUAGGUCAUAUUACUAUUAAGGAAAAUGCUAUUUGCAUAUGAAAAAUAAAGUAAGGAUACUUGUACACAAAGACAAAAUUAGUAAAAUGAGUAAGUUUGUUUUAUAAUGAAAUGUUUCUUAUCUUUAAUGACCAUGUAUAAUAUUAUGUACAAAUAAUAUUACCUACCAAAUGGUUAUUCUACCUCGAAUGGACGCAAAAUUAAUUAUUGGAAUAUAUUAAAACCAUGCAUUGUAUAACUUUUUUUUUUGUUUAUUUAAUUUUGGCUUAAGAGAGAAGGAACAGAUUAGCAUGCUUUAUUUGAUUGAAAAAGACAUUGAAAAUAACAUUUUUUGUGUUUCCACAAAUGAAGUUAUCCCCACAGAUUUCAGUUUAUUUGGAAAUUUGACAUCCACAUGUUUAUUUGGAAUUUCGACAUCCACAUUCAACAAUCCUUCAAAACGGAGACGAAAAAAGGAAAUAAGUUGGAAGAUGUUCACAUAAUUUCCCUUUCUCAAUAACUACCACACCUCAUCAAAAUUCCCAACUCAGAGAUAAUAUAUGCUCCCACACAUACGUACGGUCCAGAAAGACUCAACCAUAAACUUGUAUUCUUGAAUGGAUAAAUUUGCCAGCAUGUUUCCUUGUUUGUUGGUUCAAAAAUAAAAGAAAUUAGGGAAAAAGAAAAAAAGAAAAUUGAAUUUGUCAAUGGAAACGUAAAGAUCACUUGACGUUUCCAAUAAGGUAUUUGAUUGACAUCUCAAUUCUGAAUUAGGACUUGAUAUUAUUUCGUGGGUGUCGUGUAUUCUGUUGACCGGCACUCGAAAUUGGAAUGUGAAAACACAGAAAUGAAGGGCCAAAUUAAUUAAAAGUAAAGAGGCUUUAAUGAUGUGGUGCAAGGCUUUAGGAAAAAAUAGUCAGAACUCAAAACGUGCCGUGUAUAUUAUUGUUAACGACAUGAUUGGAUUGGGUCUGCUUAACUAUAUAAUGUUCGGCUUAAGAAUUAAUGAAAUUAAUAAAAUAAUUAAAUAUUAUUAAUUUAAUCAAGUGUAAAUGAUUAUUUGAUAUUCCUUUUGGGUUUGUACAACCUCGAUCGAGUCGAUGCUUCUUGAAGUCGUCUUGACUUGGGGGGAUCCAAACUCUCAGGACGAACAAAUAUGAAGCAACAUGAAGAAAGGCGAUAACGACUCACACAAAACUUUAUAGCAACGAAAUCUCUUUUCUAGAUAAAGUAAGAGAUAGGUUAAAUUAAAAAAAUAAUAAUAAUAAUAAUAGCACAGUGAGUAGGGGUGUUCAGAAUUCGAUCCGAUCCGUGGAUUGGUGGAUUAGAUUGAAUUGAAAUUUUAAAAAUCCGCAGUCGGUGGAUUGGAUAUUGAUUUACUUCUGUGAAUCCGCAAAUAUCCGUGAAUCCGUAAAAAAUAUAUUUAUUUAUUUAUUUUUAAAAAUAUUAUAAAUAUGAUAUUACAUAGUUAUAUAAGCACCAUAACAUAACUUAGCCAUUAUAUAAUAAAAAUAAAAAAUAAAAAAUAAUUAAAUCAGUGGUAAAAAAAAUUGAAGUAAAGUAAAGUCAUCCAAAACCAAAAGUAAAGUAACAUAACAACCAUUAUCUAAUAAAAAUAAAAAAUAAAAAAUGAUUAAAUCAGCGGUAAAAAACUAUUGAAGUAAAGUCAUCCAAAACCAAAAGUAAAGUAACAUAAAGCUUUUGUCAAAAAAAAAAAAAAAGAUAACAAUAACAUAACGCCGAAAGUAAACUAGAUAACGCCAAAAGCCCAAAAGUAAACUAGCACUAGCAUAACGCAAAUCAGUGGUCACCAACAAUCUGCAAACGAAAAAAAAACCCUAAGCUUCCUGCUUCCCUGCCGUCACAGUCAACACCCUGCGCGAUUCCGGUGAGUACUCGUAAACCUUACCACGGUGUUUCUAUCUCAUUCUCUAGGUACAAUACUCGUAAACCUUCUCCUGAUUUAUUAUUUUGAUUUUAUCUUCGAUAACAUUUGUUCUGAUUUUUUUUAAUUAUUAUUAUGUAUCUUCUUUUUUGUCAAUGGUGACUUGGGAUAAUGAUUUUGAUAUCCUUUUAUUAAUAAUAAGGUUAUUGGGGAUCGAGUGAGAGAAUUAUUUGUUGAUUGCAUGUCUUUGUCCGGUUGCUUUUGCUUUUUGUUCUGUAGUAAAAUUGAGAGAAAUUGCACAGUACCUGGCCAUUGUGAAAUAUUAAAGGCAUUUUGAUUAGUCUAAAUUAUUGGUCGGUGUAGCCAAAUAUAUAGAUAUAUUGGAACACUCAAAAUACUGAUUAUGCAACCACAAGGAGCAAAUUAAUUCAGAUUGUAGCUGGUUGAGUGUACAGUUGUAAUCAUGUGGCUGAAUAUGUUAAUUUCUUGUUUGAUGGGCUAUUUUUUUUUUAAAAUGAAGAUUAUAGAGUUGUUAUGGGGGGUGGUUGAAUCAUGUUGCUUCUGUGGAUCUAACAAUCAUGUUGCCUUUUUUGGAUGUAACACACGGAUUUCAUGAUUUUUCUUUUUGAAUUGGCUUCUUUUACUUUUCCUAAUUGAACUCUUUUAAGCUUAAUUUGUUCCUGUCAUUUUUCGUAAUUAAUUUUAAUAAUUUUUCAUAUUGGUGGUGUAGAUGACUUUUCAACUUGAUAAAGGAAAACGCGUAGCUGUAGAUUCAGCUCCCCCAAGUUCUAAAUCAUCCAGUAAUGCUGAAGGUAUGCCCAAUAAAUCCACAACUUCAGAAGCUUGGGAGCAUUUUAUCCAAUUAAGUUCUGAUCCACUACAUCCUAGAUCCAAAUGUCGAUAUUGUGGAAAAGAAUAUAAAUGUGGUUUUAAUAAAGGAACAUCUAAUCUAUUGGGUCAUAUAAGAGAGAGGUCUAAAAUAUCCUGGUCGAGUUCGAGUGGACAAAAAAUAAAAAAACUUUGUCUUACCAACCAGUGAAAAUUGGAGAGCCAUGUAGCCUUGUAUCAGCGACCUAUAGUGUUGAGGCUUGUAGGGAAGCAAUUGCUAAGUUUAUUGUAAAAGAUGAGAUGUCAUUUAGAGUUGUAGAGGGUGAAGGGUUUAUGGAAAUGUUGGGAGUUUUUGAAAAUACAUUUAAAGUACCAUCUCGCACUACUAUUGCUCGUGAUAUUUUGCAACUUUACAAAAAAAUAAAGAAAGAUUUGACUGAUUUUUUUGUUAGUAGUCAUCAAAGAGUUUGCCUCACUACAGACACAUGGACUUCAGCUCAAAAUCUUUGUUAUAUGUGUCUUACAGCUCACUUUAUUGAUGAUAAUUGGACAUUGCACAAAAAAAUAUUGAAUUUUUGUCAAGUUGCUGACCAUAAAGGUGAAACAAUUGGUAGGCAAAUUGAAACAUGCCUAUUAGAUUGGGGCAUUGAGAGAGUUUUUACAGUAACAGUUGAUAAUGCUUCUUCUAAUGAUGGUGUUGUUUUUUAUUUGUUAAAAGUUGUGAACAAUUGGAAUGGUGCAAUAUUAGGGGGUCAAAAUAUGCAUUUGAGGUGUAGUGCACAUAUAUUAAAUCUCAUUAUUGCAGAUGGGUUAAAAGAGUAUCAUUAGUCGAUUUCUAAAAUUCGCAAUGUUGUAAGAUUUGUUAGAUCUUCACCUUCUAGGACACAAAAGUUUAAGGCAUAUGCAGAGCGAGAGAAAAUUUCUUCAAAUAAGUUGUUGUGUCUAGAUGUCGUAACUAGAUGGAAUUCCACUUUUUUCACGUUAGAGGCUGCUGAAAAGUAUGAAAUAGUAUUUGAUCGGUUAGAGCUUCAUGAUGCACAAUACGUUCGAGAGUUUUGUUUGAGCGAGCCAAAAAUGUGUCCUUCUUCAAUUGAUUGGGAAUAUGCUCGUUAUUUCAUUAAAUUCUGGAAGGUUUUUCAUGAUGCCACUUUGACAUUUUCGGGUUCUUUAUAUGUGACAUCCAAUACUUUUUUGCGCCAAUUAUGUUUGAUUCAUACACAAUUGCAAGCUUGAAGGGAUAGUAAGGAUUUAUUUUUGAAGACAAUGGCUGAAAAUAUGAAAAAGAAGUAUGAUAAGUAUUGGGGAAAUUAUGAAACAGUCAACCCUUAUUUGUUUGUUUCUAUUUUGCUUGAGCCUCGACAUAAAGAAUGGUUUUUGAGAUAUUGUUUUGUAGUGUUGUUUGGUGAAUUUAAAGUUAAUGAGUUGGUUGUUAAAGUGCGGAAUAAUUUACAUAGUUUAUAUGAGGAAUACAAAUUGCUUUAUGGUGAUGAUGUGGAAGUAAUGGAUGUUGUCAAUGAUGAAAAAGAGUUAGAGGUUGAUACUAAGGUUGAUGCUAGGCAAGUGUUUGAUUCGGGUUAUAUGAGGAUUUUAAAAGACAAUACUUUUGUAGAGUGCAAAACAGAAGUGGAUCUUUACUUCUUAGAAUCAUGUGAGAACCCAGAAAAUGAGAGUUUUGAUGUUUUGGAUUGGUGGAAGAUUAAUUCUUCCAAAUAUCCAAUUUUGUCUUAUGUUGCUCGAGAUAUUUUGGCCAUGCCUGUUUCUACUGUGGCAUAUGAGUCAGCAUUUAGCACUGGUGGGCGUGUUCUUGAUCCACAUCGGUGCUCACUAUCUACAAGGACGGUGGAGGCAUUAAUUUGCACACAAAAUUGGCUACGUUCAACUCCGAUAAAUCUUGAUGAAGCAAUAGAUGAGAUUGAACAUAUUGAGACAGGUAAAAUGUAACAAUUUAACUUUAAUUUUAUUUUUUGAUUAUUAUUUGACUUUUAUAUUGUUAUUCUAUUUUAAAAAUUGACAUUUUUCUAAUCUUAUACGUACAGAGAUUUUGGGAGCUGACAAGAACAUAUUUGAUGAAGCUUGAUGGCAUUUGAUGGGAUAUAAGGGUAAAUAUUUAUUAAUUUGUUUAUUAAAUAAAUUUUUUUGUUAUUUAUAUCAAUUAUGUUUAUUUUGUUUAGGUUAAAGUAUGAAACACAAAUUGGAGAUGGACGUUUUUUCCUUUUGGUGUGUUUUAUUUUGAGACUUUCAAUGUAUUAUUGUGGCUUUAUUUGAACAAUUAAUUUUGAUAUUAUAUUAAUGUAUUAUUAUAACUUUAUUUAAAUAAUUAAUUUUGGUGUGUUAUAUUUUAAAACUUUGAACGUAUUAUUGUAGUUUUAUUUGAACAAUUAAUCUCGAUGUGUUAUAUUUUAAAAUUUUGAAUGUAUUAUUAAAACAAACAAUUAAUUUGUUUAAAUUUUAUUCAAUUUUAAAUUUAAUUGGUAGUAAAAUUAUUUUAUAUUAGAUUUUUUUUUAAUUUCAUUAGUUUAUGGAUUGGAGAGAACUAAAAUUUUUAAUUCGCAAAUCAAUUCGCAAAAUGAUGGAUUUGGAUAUGGAUUGAGUUAAAUCCGCAUCUGAUCCGCAGACGUAUGGAUUGGAUAUGGAUUGAGUCAAAUCCGUAUCCGAUCCGCAAAUGUAUGGAUUGGAUUUGGAUUGAAUUUAAUCAAUCCGUGGAUUUGAUUGGAUUGAAAAAUUAUAAUCCGCAAAAUUAUGGAUCAGAUAUGGAUUGAUGUCCAAUCCGUAAAAUCCGAUCCGUGAACACCCCUAACAGUGAGUGACUUCAUGAAUUUAUGAGAUAACCAUGUAAUGCAUCAGAACUUGAAAAAUAAAAAUCAUUAAAAAAAAUUAAAAAUCAAAGUUAUGCAUUUUGUAAGGAUGUUUUAUGUGUUAAAUACACGCUUAGUCUCUAUAUUUUUGGGUUAAGUACUCAUUUAGUCCUCAUAUUUUGAAAAAUGUCUCAAGAUUUGUUAUGCUUUUGUCCUUAUAUUUUUCCUCAACUUUUACAAAAACAUCCUUGCGGGGCAUUAAUAAAGGGAAGAAAAUAUUAAUUUUUCAAAUUAACCACAAAAUUCAAUAAAAAUUAAUGUAAAAAAUUCUUACUAUUAUUUUUAUUUUUAAAGUUAAUUUGAUAUUAGUUUGGUACUUGUAAAGAAAAUUAUUGUAAGGAUAUUAUUAUAAAAAUAAAGAAAAAAUAAGGAUGAAAGUGUAACAUAUUUAACAAUAAGAAUGUUUUGAGAUAAUUUUUAAGAUUUAAGAACUAAAUAGAAAUUUAAUUCAAAAUAUAAGGAUUAAAAAAACAUCCACCUAUAUUUUUAGUGUUUUUGUAGUUCAAGUAAAGCAUAUUUCACGCUGUUAAAUCGGGUUGACGAUCCCAUCAAAAAGAAAAAGAAAAGAAAUAUGAGGUGGAUGAUGACACUAGAUUGCUUGCAUUCUAAGUCAAAUGAAUAUGCUCUCAUAGAUUAGAGAUAAUUUGUACAUACGAGUCUCCGCAUGUAUACUAACUGCUAAGAUUUGGUUGUUCACUGGAUGCGCUCAAAUUGAUACUCUUUUUUUUUAUCAAUUCAACGAUUCAACGACAGCAUGCAUGCAUGCAUAGGUUCAGAUACCUACAACUCACUCCGGCACCACCCCAAAAGCCAAACCCUCAACCCUCUUGAGUCUUUUACUAGUCUUCUAUGUCCGAAUGACUGUGUGUAGACAAGCAAUUUAUUUGGGUGUCAUCGAGGAAACGGCCAUGAAUGUGUGUGUAUGAUAACUUGUAAUCUUUAAGUUGGACACUACACAUGACAUGCUCUAUGUUUGUGUAAUAAAAAAGAGGGGGGCAUGCAUAACCAUAAUUCAGUUUUAUCUUUAAAGAAACGUAACAAAAGUCUGUCAUUCUAGCUCCUUAUUUUCUCUGAGCACUCGUGAGACUAAGAAAAAGUCUUUUAAGUUUUGGAGAUUUGACAUUUUCUCCCAAAUUUUCCCCCUUUUUAUUAUAUCCCACUAAUUUUUUUCACAUCAAAAUCUUAACCAAAAAAAUUAAUUUUUAUUUUGUGGAUGGAAUGUUAACAUUAAGAGAGUAUACUGGAGGGGAUGGUAACAAAGAAUAAUAACGUAAGUUCUCAUUUGUAAGUAACGAUGUAUGUUAUUUUCGCUCUCUUUGUAAGUUCCCAUUUCUCAAAAGUACUGUAGAGCAUACUGUAUUAGAAUAACAACAUAGUAUGUAUGCUAAUUUGAAUUUUGUUUUCAACUUAAAUGUUAUAAUGGUAAUUAUAAUGGAAGAAAAUGUAAAUUAUGUUGAUGCUUUUAUGGUGCAUUUAUUUUUUAUUUUUGGAUCAAGGAAUUAGAAUCUCAAAUUGAAAUUAUUGAUAGUGUUUACUUGAUAAAAUGAAGGUGAAAAUAUAAGUGAAAGUGAUGGGAUUUGUUGGACCAAAAAUAAAAUAGGCCCAAUCAAGGCAUAAAUGAAUUUAAUCACAAUAAGACUCAUUUAAUAAAUUUACUCUCAAUUAAGUCCACAAAGUGCAGAACAAAUCACCUAUAAUAAUCCUCCUAAGUAAUAACAUUUCAAAACCCAAGGGUUCCAAGAUCCAAGGCCAAAAUUUAUUCUAGAGUCCUAAGAUCUAUCCUAAGACAAACCACCUAGGAUAAUCCUCCUAAGUAACAAGACUUCAAAGCCUAAAAGGUCUCAAAGUCCAAGACUAAAAGAUUCUAAAGUCCUAUGAUCUUAUCCUAAGACAAACCAUCCAGAAUAAUCAUCCUAGAUGACGAGGCUUCAAAGCUCAAAAGGUACUGAGAUCCUAGGCUUCUAUCCUAAGACAAACUACUUAGGAUAAAUCUCCUACGUUCUGAGGUUCUCAUCAUCCCCGAGUUUUAGUAAAAAUAACUUAAGGUUAAAACACUUUUUUCUUUAAAUAUAUAGACAAACUUACAUAUUCAUGCGUCAAUCAACAUGGGCACAAACAAACAAGUGUUGUCAGACGUGAUAAGAAACAUCCUCUAGUUGUCUAUUUUGUUCACUCUCAUUGUACCCUCAUCAUGAUUCUCCCAUGUUCUUGGUCAGCAUGCAAGGACAAGUAUCUAGUUUUCGAGUUUGAAGAUAAUUAUCUUGCUGUUUUGGAGAGAGAAGCAGCAGUAGCUGCUUCAUCAUGCAUUCUCAAAGAUUAUGGAAUUCCAUCUGAAAGAUCUUCUGAUCUGUUGGAGCCAUAUGUGGAUCCCUUGGGGGAAAACCAGGCAAUAAAUCAAGAUUCAGGCGACAGCCCAGUUUCAGAUUUGGAAAUUGGUUUUGACGGACUUAAACGGGCAUAAUCAUGAGAUGUUGACAGUUCAAUCCAAAGACUCUCUCACGAUCAGCCAUGUGGGAACUGGGAAGACACGGUGAGAGUGAUACAGCCGGCAGUGGACCACCAAGUCCUCCCUGAUUAAAAUUUUGAGACUUUUCGAGGUUCACAGGGAUUUUGGCAUCCCUAGUCGAAUCAACACCGAUGUGAUCUACACAACCAGUGUACAUACCAUUUGAUACUGAAAUACCAAAUACUUAGAUCUUAGAUGUAAUCAGCAACAAUGACAUAUAUAUAUAUACAUAUAUAUAUAUAUAUAUAUAUAGAGCUAAUAUUAAAAAUUGUUAUUUUAUUAUACUUUUCUUCAAUGUAUGCCAUCUUUUGGGCAGGCAAGGCAAUAAAUGAGCAAAAAUGAAGAAAACACUUUGGGCAGGCAUGGCAAUAAAUGAGCAAAAAUGAAGACAACACACACAUUACACACACACACACACAGAGUGUAAUUGAAAUAUCAAACUGGCAAGGACGCAAAAUGAAUUUAAUAGUAUAUAUUAUCUCAUAAUGGCAAAUCUAAAAAACACAAACUUAUUUAACAGCUAGCAAAUUUAAAAAUCACGACAGCAUCAAAAAUUGCGCACAAGAAUUUAAUUAACGGGGACUUAAAAUGGAGUUGAUAUGAUCAGCAAUGUUUUGGGCAUCAGCAGCAGCUCCAUAGAGUCCUUUUCUCGACAAUCCAACGCAGUAUAAACCAUUCUUCCCUUUCCAAUGAUUUGGGUAACUUUGCUUUGGAAUUCCAUCAUCGUUCAGCAUAGAAUCAUCUCCCUGCUCAACAACAACAAGAAAAAUAUAUAUAUAUAUAUAUAUAUAUAUCUAAGAUUGAUUUGUACUUUUUGUAACCAUUAACGCGAAAGAGUAACAAAUUAUUAUAGAAACAAUAAAAAAUAAAAUGGUAAAAAGGCGAUUUGUUUUUGGGGGAGGCAAAGUGAGAAUCGUCUUCUUUCCAAUAUAUAUGUAUAUAAACAUUAUAUUUUACCUUGAGCCAAACAUUUGUUGAUCUCUUGAAGCCAGUACAGAAAACAAUCGAGUCAAAGUGAUGGGAGUGUCCAUUCUCAAAUACCACCUCGUUGCCUCUAAUGCUCUCGAUUCCCGGCAAUACCUGUGAAGGAGGAAUUUUAAAUUAUAUCACAAGUAAUACAACAAUCAACUAACUUAGUUAUAUACACAUGUGUAAUUAAAAAAUUAAUAUAAUUACUACUUACAUAUUAAUUUUUUAAUAAUAUAUACUUAUAAUUUUAUAUUUAUUAUAUAAUUAAUAUAAUAUUUUAGAUGUAUUUUAAAAUUUUUGUUAGUGUAGGUAUAUUUACCUGUGUGUAUGUAUAGGGAGAGAGAGGAAGGCCAGCCAGGUCAUUCAAAUAAUAAAUAUCUGAUCACCUAGAAAUUAAUUACCUGAAUCUGCCCAGACUUGAUUUUCUCACAGGUGCCGGCAUCGAUAACCGGGUACUUUCCAUAAGCAGCUUUCAUGAAAAAAGGACCUUCCCUGGGCUUGUGGAUCCCAUACUUGCUCAAAUCUCCAUAAACAAGCCUGCUAAGCAUCACCAUCAAUGUGUCGACCCCGCCGCAUGGAACAUACCUCAAUAAAACUAACCCCAAAUACACCAUCUCCCUCGACAGCACAUGAACCUGAUUAAUUAAUUAAUCGAGUAGAUAGAUAUAUAGAAAUUAAGUAAAAAAAUAUGUGCAUGCCAAGUGAAAUAAUAAUGAAUUUACCCACCGGGCUACGGAUAACUAAAGAGGUUUUGGCGGCAUGGUUGGCUAGAUCCAGUGCAAUUUCCAUGCCAGAAUUUCCAGAGCCAACGACCAACACAUUCUUGCCGCCAUAAGGUUUCCCAUUUUUAUACUGAGUGGAAUGAAUAACUUCUCCAGUCCCGGUAGCACUACUGCAGAAAGAGCUCAGUCCUCGAAUAUCCGGCGUAAAAGGGUUGCUCGUUUCCCCACUUGCAACCACCAGAAACCUCCCGGAAUAAUAUUCCUCAAUCUCACGGCCGGGACUUAGUAAGUUGCUAGCCUUAACGUUCCACAUAUUGGUUGCCUCGUCGUAGCUCGCCGAUUCAACCGAUCUUUGGUACCGUAUUGACGGACCGAUGUUGAAAUGGGAAACGUAGUGAUCCAAGUAUUCAAUGAAUUGGGCUCUGGAGACAAACAUCGGAUAAGAAGAAGGGAAUGGCAGGUGAGGGAGCUGACAAAAUUGCUUUGCUAAGUGCAGACGUAGGCGAUCGUAGGAAUAUUUCUUCCAGAUGGACGCGUAACAAUUUUCUCUUUCGAGGAUUACGUAAGGGAUUGAUUGAAGGCUAAGGCAGGCCGCCGUCGCCAGGCCGG
rnacentral:lncRNA from 1 species